ACUAACGCGUGGCGGCGUGCCUAACACAUGCAAGUCGAACGGGUCCGCAGCAAUACGGUUAGUGGCAGACGGGUGAGUAAUACGUAGAUAACGUACCCCUGCGCUGGGGAUAGCCACUGGAAACGGUGGGUAAUACCGAAUAUUCUCGUUAGGAGGCAUCUUCUGACGAGGAAACUGGUAACGGGCGGAGGGAUCGGUUUGCGUCCUAUCAGCUAGUUGGUGAGGUAAGAGCUCACCAAGGCGACGACGGGUAGCCGGUCUGAGAGGAUGAUCGGCCACACUGGCACUGAGAUACGGGCCAGACUCCUACGGGAGGCAGCAGUGAGGGAUUUUGCGCAAUGGGGGAAACCCUGACGCAGC
rnacentral:rRNA from 1 species